GCGCAGACCAACGGGGAGCAAGACCCUUGCGCGGGUGCUCCAACGUGGACUAGUGGGGAGUGGCGACUCUCUGAUACCUCGGCAAAACAUCGCCGCGUCCUUCUUGCUCUCCUCCUUUACUUUCUAGCAUUUACUUUGUGCAAUUACUUUGAGCUUUCACAUUCCUAGAAUUGUCAUGCUAGAAUAGGAUUGGAACUAGGUUGCAAAACUAUUUAUCCGGUAGCUUUCUAGAUCACUUUAGGCACAAGAGGUUGAAUUGGAGCUUAUAGGUUGCUUAAAUUUUUAGAGGAAUCCAAUUCACCCCUCCUCUUAGACAUCUUGAUCCUUUCAAAUAUGAUAUACUUCUUUUCAUCUAUGUACUUAUUAGAUUUUAACGAUAUUAAUUGGCCUAUGCACGGGGUACAAUACAAUAUGUGAUAUGGUUCUGGCAAGGUUUUUGUGAAAGUUAAUUUGUAAUAACAGAUGAACUGAAACACAGCAUAAACCAAAGAAAACUAAUUAAAAAGAUACGUACGAGAACUGACCAGAAUUGAAGCACAAAGACAUGGUUCACUGCGGGAGACAGACGCUUUGCCGAGUGUCUCUGGCACUCGGCAAAGGCCCAAACACACUCAGCAAAGCCUUUGCCGAGUGCCACACUCGGUAAAGAGCACACGACAAAAUUCUAGCCGGCAAAGGGGUCUUUGCCGAGUGUUUUUUAUCGGGCACUCGGCAAAGGCUUUGCCGAGUGCCGACACUCGGCAAAGAUAAAAGUAAAAAAAUCCAAAAAAAUAGAAAAACAAAUUUAGGGGAAGGGCUGCCCAUCAGCUGCGCACACCACAGCACCCUCCACCUUUUUUCAACAUGUUUCCACAAACUUCACAAAAUCAGCACAGGAAGGAUUCAAACCUGCGACAAAAUUAGCACAGGCAGGAUUCAAACCUGCGACCUCGAGUUUAGAGAGCCCAUUCCUUCACCACUGCACUACACCAUCAGCUGUGACUAUAUUACGUUUCGGUUCUUCAUAUAUCAUAAUAAAUCACAUAUAAAAUGAUUAUUUGAGGCUCUAAACGAUUUCAAAUCAAAAAGUUGUUAACUACAAAGUUUCAUAACUUUUUGAGAUCUAUAAUUUUCAUUUAGGAAGUUUCUCCAUCCGAGGUCGUUUACAAAAUUUGAAUUUCAAAUUUGAGAAAUUUAAACAUAAUUUUUGCAUGACAAC
rnacentral:lncRNA from 1 species